UUUUUCCAACAAUUAUGGUGAUGUAUGGGAGAGGUAAGCAAUGAUGCAACUCUCCUUAGUGAGAUAAGCAAUGAUGCAAUGAGUGGUAGGUGAGAUUUGCACUUUUGGUCCCUAUCUCAAAACUAUAAAUACCCCCUUCCAUUUCAUUGUAUAACACACCAAAAAAAAAUAUAUCAAAACUUAAGAAGAAAGAGUUUGAGAGGGAGAGAGAUGUAUUUCCUUUAGGAAUGUUUCCUAACAGGGGAGUGACAAAAUAGUGAGUAGAAAUACUAGUCGGGUAUUUUUCGGGAAACACUUUUGUGUGCGCCACUAUUUUGGGUAGAGCUCAGGAAUUGUUGUACCUCCAAAUUAUUGGGGAAGUCUCUCUUUGUAUGCCUGCUAAAUGUUUUAGUGGAAGUUGGUGUCGGAUUUGUGGACGUAGCCUAAACGUUUUAGGUGAACCACGUUAAAUAUUGUGUCAUUUA